rnacentral:RNase_P_RNA from 1 species
GGAGCGGGCCAGGCGGCCGCCGUCGGUCCUCGUGGCCGGCGGAGGAAAGUCCGAACUGGUCAGGGCACGGUGAUGGCUAACAGCCACCGGGAGUGAUCCCAGGGAAAGUGCCACAGAAAACACACCGCCGAUGGACGCCUCCGGGCGUCACAGGCAAGGGUGAAAAGGUGCGGUAAGAGCGCACCGCGCGACGGGUGACCGUCGUGGCAGGGCAAACCCCACCGCCAGCAAGCCCAAAUAGGGGGCGAGAGCCGGCCCGGCUCGCUAUCAGCCCCGGGUAGGGUGCUCGAGCCCGUCGGUAACGGCGGGCCCAGAUGAAUGGCCGCCACCCGGCCCACCGCCGGGGACAGAAUUCGGCUUACCGGCCCGCUCCGCCG